rnacentral:rRNA from 1 species
GACAGAGGGUGCAAACGUUGUUCGGAAUUACUGGGCGUAAAGCGUGUGUAGGCGGCUCUGCAAGUCGGAUGUGAAAGCCCCGGGCUCAACCCGGGAAGUGCACUCGAUACUGCAGAGCUAGAGUGUGGGAGAGGUUGGUGGAAUUCUCGGUGUAGAGGUGAAAUUCGUAGAUAUCGAGAGGAACACCGGCGGCGAAGGCGGCCAACUGGACCACUACUGACGCUGAGACGCGAAAGCGUGGGGAGCGAACAGG